rnacentral:rRNA from 1 species
UACGUAGGCAGCGAGCGUUGUUCGGAGUUACUGGGCGUAAAGGGUGUGUAGGCGGUUGUUUAAGUUUGGUGUGAAAUCUCCCGGCUCAACUGGGAGGGUGCGCCGAAUACUGAAUGACUUGGAGUGCGGGAGAGGUGAGUGGAAUUCCUGGUGUAGCGGUGAAAUGCGUAGAUAUCGGAAGGAACAUCAGUGGCGAAAGCGGCUUCCUGGACCAGCACCGACGUUCAGGCACGAAAGCGUGGGGAGCAAACAGG